rnacentral:rRNA from 1 species
UGCAAGUCGAGCGGUAGGAGAGAUGCUUGCAUCUCUUGAGAGCGGCGGACGGGGGAGUAAUGCCUAGGAAUCUGCCUGGUAGUGGGGGAUAACGUCCGGAAACGGACGCUAAUACCGCAUACGUCCUACGGGAGAAAGCAGGGGACCUUCGGGCCUUGCGCUAUCAGAUGAGCCUAGGUCGGAUUAGCUAGUUGGUGAGGUAAAGGCUCACCAAGGCGACGAUCCGUAACUGGUCUGAGAGGAUGAUCAGUCACACUGGAACUGAGACACGGUCCAGACUCCUACGGGAGGCAGCAGUGGGGAAUAUUGGACAAUGGGCGAAAGCCUGAUCCAGCCAUGCCGCGUGUGUGAAGAAGGUCUUCGGAUUGUAAAGCACUUUAAGUUGGGAGGAAGGGUACUUACCUAAUACGUGAGUAUUUUGACGUUACCGACAGAAUAAGCACCGGCUAACUCUGUGCCAGCAGCCGCGGUAAUACAGAGGGUGCAAGCGUUAAUCGGAAUUACUGGGCGUAAAGCGCGCGUAGGUGGUUCGUUAAGUUGGAUGUGAAAUCCCCGGGCUCAACCUGGGAACUGCAUCCAAAACUGGCGAGCUAGAGUAUGGUAGAGGGUGGUGGAAUUUCCUGUGUAGCGGUGAAAUGCGUAGAUAUAGGAAGGAACACCAGUGGCGAAAGCGACCACCUGGACUGAUACUGACACUGAGGUGCGAAAGCGUGUGGAGCAACACGAUGAGAUACCCUGGUAGUCCACGCCGUAACGAUGUCAACUAGCCUUUGGCAGCCUGAGCUCUUACUGC